UCCAGGUUAUCCCUGGCGGUCUCCUGCGAGUUCCUGCUCUUUUAAGGGAGCUUGGCAACACAGGACAAGGGUUGCGCUCGUUGCGGGACUUAACCCAACAUCUCACGACACGAGCUGACGACAGCCAUGCAGCACCUCGACUUCAGUCCCUUGCGGGAAGUCUCUGUUUCCAAAGAUGAUCCAAAGCCGUUCGAGCCCAGGUAAGGUUCUUCGCGUUGCGUCGAAUUAAACCACAUGCUCCACCGCUUGUGCGGGCCCCCGUCAAUUCCUUUGAGUUUCAGCCUUGCGACUGUACUCCCCAGGCGGCAUAUUUAACGCGUUAGCUCCGGCACGGAUCAAAUGAAUGACCCACACCAAAUAUGCAUCGUUUAGGGCGUGGACUAC
rnacentral:misc_RNA from 1 species